GAUGAAGAACGCAGCGAAAUGCGAUAGGUAAUGUGAAUUGCAGAAUUCCGUGAAUCAUCGAAUCUUUGAACGCACAUUGCGCCCCCUGGCAUUCCGGGGGGCAUGCCUGUCCGAGCGUCAUUUCUGCCCUCCAGCCCGGCUGGGUGUUGGGCGCUGUCCCCCCGGGGACACGCCCCAAAGGCAGUGGCGGCGCCGCGUCGGGUCCUCGAGCGUAUGGGGCUUUGUCACCCGCUCGGGACGGACUCGUCGGCGCUGGUCUUCCUCCAGGCGACCCUUCGGGGCUCGUCUUCCUUCGGUUGACCUCGGAUCAGGUAGGGUUACCCGCUGAACUUAAGCAUAUCAAUAAGCGGAGGA
rnacentral:misc_RNA from 1 species